rnacentral:lncRNA from 1 species
UAGGGCAGCAAGGUCAGCAUCUAAAACCUAUUUAAAGACUCCUUAAAGGCCAGCCGAUCCUCUCUCCACGUUUUGCAACACCAUCUGCGCAAGCCUCUCAUCCGGCUCCAUCUUCUCUUCAUCUUCUUCUUCCUUUCUUUAUUUUUUGAUUUUUGGUUCAGCCAUGAGUGGCUGAAACCUUUUAUUCUAGUUGAAAAUUGAUUGAAACUAAGGUUGAUUUAUGGAUUGUGAGAUCUGAACACAUAUUGUUUGUCUUUUGGUUAUUCAAUAUUUGUGCAAUUUCAUGCUUGAUUCCAUUAUUGCUUUGUUAUUAUGAUCAAAUUUGCCACUUGAUUCUUGAUUGCAAGGUAAUUAAUUGUUGGUUUGGAUAAUUUUAAGUCCGUAAUUGCUUGAAUUGUUCAAACAUAAGAACGCUUGGUGUAACAACUAAGGAAUUGUAUGAUCUAGCAACAUCUCAUGUGUUUGAGUAGUUAGGAUUGGAUCUCUCUCUUUCUUCAUGCAAUUAACAAUUGUUUGAUGCCUAAGGCCCAAGGACAUUCCUUGGCAAUUUGUUAAUUAGUAAUUAAUUAGAGGACUAUAACGACCCCAAAAUGGACCGUCACCGGCGCUAGGAUUCAGAUCGGCUUAAGGCCGCCAGAACCCGUAGCAAGCCUGCUAUACUCUCUGAAUAUCUGUAAACAAUCAUACAUGGUCAUACAUUUUAUGUGAAAAUAAAAACUCUUUUCUGAACCAAGGCUUAACCUGUGCAUGCACUAUCUCGGUACUCUGUACUCUGUACUCUGUACUCUGUAUCCCUGACUAGAGCUUGCUCUAGAUGGGUUAAUUCAUACCUGUUAAGCCUGGUUUUUCACAUGCUCUAUAAACCAGUUAUACAUAUAAACAGACCAUGUAUACAACAGAUUUACAACACAAACAUAACUAAGUCAAGCACAAUUCUAACUUUAUACACAACUGUUACAUCUCUUUAUUAUUACAUGUCCACGCUACGCUAUUACAAAUCUCUUUACUCUUUCUGUACUCUGCUGAUCUGCCCUGUACACUGUAUACUGAACCUACAAAACUGGGGUUAAGGGAGUGGGAUGAGCUCUAUAGCCGAGUGAGUAGAACAGUAAAACAAGUCAUUACCACAUGCUCUGAUGAAAUGCAUCAAACCACAGACAAUCCACAUCAAGGGUAAACCUGUCACCAUAUAGUCCCGGUAACUCUGCCGUGCCAGGGCGUAGAAUCGAGCACCUGGUCUUCCUUUCAUAUAGGUAUAUGUGUAUAUAACACCUCUGUACUUACCAUUGCCAGGGCGUAGUCAAAGGCUCCUGGACUUUGCUAUACUUGCCAGGGCAUAGUCAAAGGCUCCUGGACUUCUCUAUACCUGCCAGGGCGUAGUCAAAGGCUCCUGGACUUCUCUCAGAGACUAUUGGAUCAUUCAGCAUUCACCCACAUCAAUAAAUAACUAUGCAAUGCAACAUAUUCGUGGAUUCUAAUGCAAACAAACUACUGUAUACUCAUGAUGCAUGAAUUAUGCUAAAAGCAUUUUAUUUCUCAAUGAAAAGCAUUAAGUUUAGUUCCACUCACCUCUGGCUAGCUGGACUGACUCUGCAGGCUCUGAAAACUCUGAAGCAGUACUCACUGCUGCUCUCUCUAGUUCCUCUGGUCUGUCCCUAUACAGAUGGACUCAAAUGAGGGACCAAACUAGCUUAUGAAUAACUCUAUUAACCUCCCUAAGAAUCCCCUUAAACUCACUCAACUAUCCAUGCAAAGCAUGCAAGAGAAGGCUGGACAGAACACUUUCGGCGACAGGUUCGGCGGCCGAAAGUCCUCUCCAGAGACUAAACUCAUGCACCUUCGGCGGCCGAAUCUCUACUUUCGGCAGCCGAACACUUUCGGGGGCAAUUUCGGAGGCUAAAAGGCACUCCAGAGACGAAAGUCUCUAACCUUCGGCGGCACCUUCAGCGGCCGAACUCCCCUCCAGAGCCGAAAGUCCAAAAGCUCGGGGGCAAGCUUGGGCAGCCGAAGCCACCUCCUCAUGGGUUCGGCGGCCGAACCUAAGUUCAUCUGCAAGGCAGAAACUUGCUCUGCCUCUCGCCAAAAGCACCAAAACUCUCUCAAACUCCAACACCUCAAUUCCUCAACUUGCAUACACCCAAGUAUAUGCUCAAAGGGGUCAAAAACUACCUUAAAACCCCAACAACACAAACACAUAACACAUAAACAAGCUUUUCUCACACAAAUCACCAAAAACUCUCCUUUAAUCCUAUUCAUGCAACUCUUCCCCAAAACCUCAAAAAUCUUUCAUAAAACAUAAAAACAAGGUCAGGAUCUUCACUUACCUCUUGAAACCAAGAAGAUGAACGAGCCUAACGUGAAGUUUUGGAGCAACUCUCCUUCAAACUUUCCAAACUUCAAAAUUCAAGUUUCUAACUCAAAACCUUCAAAUAAACAUGAAAAUCAAUCAAAUCUUUGCAUGAUUGAAUGAAAACAUGAAGAAAACUCUAAAAAGGACAGGGUCUCACCUCAGCAAGUCAAAGAAACGGUGAUCUUAUCGUUUCAACCGACUGAGGGCCUUUUAUAGGUGGCUGGCCAGACCACCUUCGGCGGCCACACGUGAAACCGAAAGCCAUGUAUGUUCGGCGGCCGAACCUCAACUUCGGCGGCCGAACCUGGCUUUUCUGCCUUGGUUCAUUUCACUCAAAACCUCAUUUCCUUAAGCUUUAAAACUAUGAAACAUAUCAAAACCUUUUAGCGAAACACAAAUCUAACCCUUCUAGAGACGUUCGGCAUCCUGAACUCCAUCGGAAAGUAGAAUUCCGAUGCCGGACUCUAGCCGGGUAUUACAUUCUCCCCCCCUUAAGACCAUUCGUCCUCGAAUGUUCCUAAAACAAUCAACUAACACAUAAAAAGCAGGAAACUAACCUCAAAACAAAUAUGGAUACUGUUGAAGCAUAGACUCCCGCGUCUCCUAUGUACAUUCUUCUAGAUUAUGGUGGUUCCACAGCACUUUCACCAUCGGAAUCUCUUUGUUCCUUAGCUGUCUGAUCUGCGUGUCCAAAAUCCGUACUGGUUGCUCUAUAUAGGUGAGAUCUCCAAGGACCUCCACAUCAGGCUCACUCAGAACCUGAUUCGGAUCUGACACAAACUGCCGUAGCAUAGAAACAUGAAAUACCGGGUGAAUUCUCUCCAUAGAAGCAGGUAAAUCCAGCUUAUACAACACAUUUUCGAUCCUCUGCAAGAUCUCAAAGGGUCCAAUGUAUCGUGGGGCUAACUUACCUUUUCUUCCAAAACGAACCACUCCUUUCAUUGGAGACACCUUCAGCAAUACCAUACUACCCUCCUGAAACUCUAACUGCUUUCUGCGAACGUCUGUAUAACUUUUCUGUCUGCUCUGAGCUGUUCUGAUUCUCUCUCUAAUCAUGGGCACUACUCUACUGGUAAUCUCUACUAACUCUGGCCCUGCAAGAGCCUUCUCUCCUAUUUCUUCCCAGCAAACAGGGGAUCUGCACUUCCUCCCAUACAAAGCUUCAUAAGGAGCCAUCCCUAUGCUAGCAUGAUGGCUGUUAUUGUAGGCAAACUCCAUCAAAGGUAGAUGCUGCCUCCAAGAACUGCCAAAGUCUAACACACACAGUCGAAGCAUAUCUUCUAUGGUCUGGAUGGUCCUCUCUGACUGUCCAUCAGCCUGCGGAUGGAAAGCAGUGCUCAAAUCCAAUCUCGUGCCCAUCGCACUCUGCAGACUCCGCCAAAAUCUGGAGGUAAACUGAGGUCCUCUGUCUGAGACUAUAGAUACUGGAACUCCAUGUAAUCUCACUAUCUCAUCCAGAUAUACCUGUGCCAACUUAUCCACAGAAUAGUUACUCCGAACUGGAAGAAAAUGAGCAGAUUUCGUGAGUCUGUCCACAAUCACCCAUAUGGAGUCUAUCCUGUUGGACGCUGCCGGUAAGCCCACUAUAAAAUCCAUGGCUAUGUUCUCCCAUUUCCACUCUGGAAUCGGCAGUGGGUUAAGCAUUCCAGCCGGCUUCUAAUGUUCUAGUUUCACUCUUUGACAAACCUCACAGGCUGUCACAAAUUGCGCCACUUCUUUCUUCAUGGCUGGCCACCAAUAGACCCUUUUCAGAUCCUGAUACAUCUUGGUGGCUCCUGGGUGAAUACUAUACCGUGCAUUAUGAGCUUCCCUCAUAAUGUCUUCCUUCAAACUACUAUCUGGUACACAAAGUCGACUCCCAUAGCGAAGGAUCCCUUUGCUGUCAAAUCGAAACUCUGCACUGUUGCCUAACUUAACAGUCCUGGCAAUUUUCAUCAACUCUAGAUCCUCGUACUGUUUCUGAGCUAUCUGCUCUAGAAACACAGGUGUCACUCUCAUUUGUGCUAUCAACGCACCUGUACCAGACAACUCUAGCUGUAACCCCUCUUCUAAAAGCUUGUAAAGCUCCAUCACAACUGGUCUCCGCUCUGCUGCUAUAUGGGAUAAACUGCCUAGUGACUUCCGGCUUAGGGCGUCUGCCACAACAUUCGCCUUACCCGGAUGAUACUGGAUCUUACAAUCAUAAUCACUGAGCAAUUCUACCCAUCUUCUCCGCCUCAAAUUCAGCUCUCUCUGGCUCAAGAUGUACUGUAAACUCUUGUGAUCAGUGAAGAUCUCGCAUUUAACCCCGUAGAGGUAAUGCCGCCACAUCUUGAGUGCAAAAAUAACUGUUGCCAUCUCUAGGUCAUGGGUAGGGUAAUUCAACUCGUGCUUCUUCAACUUUCUAGAAGCAUAAGCAAUCAUCCUAUCACUCUGCAUCAAAACACUACCCAAUCCCACUCGAGAUGCAUCACAGAACACUGUGAAAUCCUCAUUACUGACAGGCAGAGCUAACACUGGUGCUGAUGUCAAUCUCCUCUUGAGCUCCUCAAAGCUCUCUUCACACUGGUCUGACCAGACAAACCUCUGGUUCUUAUGAGUCAGUUUGGUCAUAGGAGCCGCUAUCUUUGAGAAGUCCUGAACGAACCUCCUGUAGUAAACUACCAGUCCCAGAAAGCUUUUAAUCUCAGUCACUGUCGUGGGUUUGGGCCAGUUAGCUACAGCCUCUAUCUUCUUGGGAUCUACCUCAAUACCUUCUGCUAAUACGACAUGUCCCAAGAAGGAAAUGCUCCUUAACCAAAACUCACACUUAGAGAACUUGGCAUACAAACCAUGCUCUAUCAGUGUCUGCAGAACUAUCCUCAGAUGUUGGGCAUGCUCCUCUGCAUCUCUGGAAUACACUAAAAUAUCAUCGAUGAAAACAAUGACAAAGUGAUCCAGAAACUCACUGAAAACUCUGUUCAUGAGAUCCAUAAAUGUUGCAGGGGCGUUAGUCAACCCGAACGGCAUUACUAAGAACUCAUAAUGCCCAUAUCUGGUCCUGAAAGCUGUCUUAGGCACAUCUGCCUCUCUAACUCUCAACUGAUGAUACCCGGAUCUCAGAUCUAUUUUAGAGAAACAACCUGCUCCAGCUAGCUGGUCGAAAAGAUCAUCAAUCCUAGGUAAAGGAUACCUAUUCUUGGUAGUGACCUUGUUCAACUGUCUGUAGUCGAUACAAAGUCUGAGGGAUCCAUUCUUCUUUCUGACAAAAAGCACUGGAGCACCCCAAGGUGAGGUACUAGGGCGGAUGAAACCCUUAUCUACCAAAUCCUGCAACUGCUCUUUCAACUCCUUUAACUCUGCUGGCGCCAUCCUGUAGGGAGGAAUAGAGAUAGGUCUGGUAUCAGGCAGCAAUUCUAUUCCAAACUCUAUCUCCCUACCAGGUGGUAGUCCUGGAAGUUCGUCUGGAAACACAUCUAGAAACUCUCGGACUACUGGUAGCGAAGCUGGUUCCCUAACCUGUCUGUCUAGCUCUCUCACAUGAGCUAGAAACCCCUGAGAACCCCUCCUAAGCAAACGACGAGCCUGAAGGGCUGAAAUCAAACCUCUGGGUAUACCUCUCUUGUCUCCCCUGAAGACACACUCUGACCUAUCCUGGUCUCUGAGGCUCACUAUCUUCUCUCUACAGUCCAAAAUAGCACUAUAUGCAGAUAGCCAAUCCAUCCCUAGAAUGACAUCAAAAUCUGUCAAGUCUAGAACCACAAGGUCAGCUGGAAGGCAUCUACCCUCUAUGAACACUGGACUGAAACGAUAGACUGACACUGCCACUGAUGGGUCACACUUGGGUCAACUGACCCAGAGAGGAUACUCUAACUCAGAACUGAUCAAACCCAAUCUCUCUAUGGCUCUCGAAGCAAUAAAGGAAUGAGAAGCACCGGGGUCCAUCAAAGCAUACACAUCUGAACACCCAAUGAUGAGAUUACCUGACACCACUGUGUUCGACGUGUUCGCCUCCUCCUGUGUCACAGUGAAAAUCCGUGCUGAGGCUACCGGAUUUCCACCUCGGGAACCUGCUGCUGAAGUAGAGGCUGCCCCUCUCCCUCUACCUCUGCCACUACUCUAAGGCAUGACUGGAGCUGCUGGCUGUACAACUGGCUGUACCACACUGCCUGAACUCAUCUGCUGGGAUGGUGCAAAAGUCACCUGAGGACAAUCCCGAGCAAUAUGCCCUUCCUGUCCACAUCUAUAACAAGCUGUAGAUCCCAACCGACAAGCUCCUCCAUGUGGUCUUCCGCAUCUUCUGCAUACUGGAUAAGCUGUGCCAGAGCUUGAACCGCUACUUAUUCCCAGACUAGACUUGGCUUUACUCCAGAACUUAUUCUUUAACCCUUUUGCUCUAUCCCAUCUCUUGCUACCUGAACUGGGGGCCUUAGAACCCGAAGCCUGUGCCUUUGACUGUUUCUGAAUAUUGGCACUAGCUUCCAUUUUCCUGGCUGCGUCCACUAUAGAGUGGAAACUCUUCUUCUCUGCUGGAAGAAUCAAGGAAGAAUACCUGGGAUGCAGUCUCAUAGUAUAUCUCCUUGCCUUCUUCUGAUCAGUAUCAUAGGCUUGACCCACAUACUGAAGCAAAUCCAGGAACUUAUCUGUGAAUUCAUCAACACUCAUUUCGUCUGUUUGUCUCAACUGUUCGAACUCUAUUACUUUCAUCUCCCUAGAACUGUCAGGAAAAGCCCACCCUGCAAAUUCGUUGGCAAACUCUCCCCACGACAUACUGUCAAUCCUGGGCUCUAUAUAGUUAUUGAACCAUUCUCUGGCUUUCUUGCAUUUGAGUGUAAACCCUGCCAUCGCAAUGGCUCUACUAUCAUCUGCUCCCAAUUCACUGGUUAUCAUCCUAACUGCUCUGAGGUAUUCAAAUGGAUCAUCUCCCGUGUUGUAUUUAGGAGCAUCCAAUUUCAAGUACUCUGUCAUUUGCACUUUACCUCCAGAUAAGCUAGGUUGAUGUCUGUCAACAACAGGGGCUAUUGGUUCUGGUGGUGGUGGUGGAGGUACUGGUUCAUUUAGCUAUGGGUGUGCUGCACUUGGAUGAGUAGGGGAAGGUGGAUACAUAGGAUAUGGUGGGUAAUAAUGAGGAUAAGGCAUAUAUGGCAUGUAAGUAGGAUAUGGGACAAAACUAGAGUACUCUGACAUACCUCCCAUCGGAUACUCUGGGUCCUGCGGAAAGGCUGGAUAGCCAAAACCUGAGGCCUGAGCGCCUCCCUGCGACUCUCCCAUACCUUCUUCAAAUCUGCCUACACCCAUGUUGUCAUCUCUAGACUAGUCACUCUCCAUAGCCUCCCUCCUUUCCUCUGAUCCUCCUCCCCUAGCUGUUCCCCUUCUGCUCUCGUCAACAGACCUUCUAGGGUCUAUUGACGUACCUUCCCUGCUAGAUCUCUGAGACCUUGCCCUCGGCAAUGCAGGAGGACGAGCAGUUGUUCUCUCACUAUCUGGUGGGACUCCAGUCAAUCGAGCUGAUCGAUGAGUACCUCUCAUCUUAACUCUGGAAAACAACACAUAAGAUAGCACUUUAGCACAUAAACAUCACAUAUCAAUAAUGCACAUGCAUAACUCAUGGCAUUUCAUAGCAUCAAACAGAUAGGACUCAAUACCCUAUCCUAGUGGACAUGAUUUCCUAUUGUGCUUGACCACUUCUAACCUCUAUGAGACCGACACUCUCUCUAUAGGUCCGAUCAUAUGAACCUAGGGCUCUGAUACCAAUCUGUAACGACCCCAAAAUGGACCGUCACCGGCGCUAAGAUUCAGAUCGGCUUAAGGCUGCCAGAACCCGUAGCAAGCCUGUUAUACUCUCUGAAUACCUGUAAACAAUCAUACAUGGUCAUACAUUUUCUGUGAAAAUAAAAACUCUUUUCUGAACCAAGGCUUAACCUGUGCAUGCACUAUCUCGAUACUCUAUACUCUGUACUCUGUACUCUGUACUCUGUAUCCCUAACUAGAGCUUGCUCUAGAUGGGUUAAUUCAUACCUGUUAAGCCUGGUUUUUCACAUGCUCUAUAAACCAGUUAUACAUAUAAACAGACCAUGUAUACAACAGAUUUACAACACAAACAUAACUAAGUCAAGCACAAUUCUAACUUUAUACACAACUGUUACAUCUCUUUAUUAUUACAUGUCCACGCUACGCUAUUACAAAUCUCUUUACUCUUUCUGUACUCUGCUGAUCUGCCCUGUACACUGUAUACUGAACCUGCAAAACUAAGGUUAAGGGAGUGGGAUGAGCUCUAUUGCCUAGUGAGUAGAACAGUAAAACAAGUCAUUACCACAUGCUCUGAUGAAAUGCAUCAAACCACAGACAAUCCACAUCAAGGGUAAACCUGUCACCACAUAGUCCUGGUAACUCUGCCAUGCCAGGGCGUAGAAUCGAGCACCUGGUCUUCCUGUCAUAUAGGUAUAUGUGUAUAUAACACCUCUGUACUUACCAUUGCCAGGGCGUAGUCAAAGGCUCCUGGACUUUGCUAUACUUGCCAGGGCAUAGUCAAAGGCUCCUGGACUUCUCUAUACCUGCCAGGGCGUAGUCAAAGGCUCCUGGACUUCUCUCAGAGACUAUUGGAUCAUUCAGCAUUCACCCACAUCAAUAAAUAACUAUGCAAUGUAACAUAUUCGUGGAUUCUACUGCAAACAACCUACUGUAUACUCAUGAUGCAUGAAUUAUGCUAAAAGCAUUUUAUUUCUCAAUGAAAAGCAUUAAGUUUAGUUCCACUCACCUCUGGCUAGCUGGACUGACUCUGCAGGCUCUGAAAACUCUGAAGCAGUACUCACUGCUGCUCUCUCUGGUUCCUCUGGUCUGUCCCUAUAAAGAUGGACUCAAAUGAGGGACCAAACUAGCUUAUGAAUAACUCUAUUAACCUCCCCAAGAAUCCCCUUAAACUCACUCAACUAUCCAUGCAAAGCAUGCAAGAGAAGGCUGGAUAGAACACGGCGGCAGGUUCGGCGGCCGAAAGUCCACUCCAGAGACAAAACUCAUGCACCUUCGGCGGCCGAAUCUCUACUUUCAGCAGCCGAACCCUUUCGGGGGCAAGUUUUGGAGGCUGAAAGGCACUCCAGAGACGAAAGUCUCUAACCUUCGGCGGCACCUUUGGCGGCCGAACUCCCCUCCAGAGCCGAAAGUCCAAAAGCUCGGGGGCAAGCUUGGGCAGCCGAAGCCACCUCCUCAUGGGUUCGGCGGCCGGAUGUACCUUCGGCGGCCGAACCUGAGUUCAUCCGCAAGGCAGAAACUUGCUCUGCCUCUCGCCAAAAGCACCAAAACUCUCUCAAACUCCAACACCUCAAUUCCUCAACUUGCAUACACCCAAGUAUAUGCUCAAAGGGGUCAAAAACUACCUUAAAACCCCAACAACACAAACAUAUAACACAUAAACAAGCUUUUCUCACACAAAUCACCAAAAACUCUCCUUUAACCCUAUUCAUGCAACUCUUCCCCAAAACCUCAAAAAUCUUUCAUAAAACAUAAAAACAAGGUCAGGAUCUUCACUUACCUCUUCAAACCAAGAAGAUGAACGAGCCUAACGUGAAGUUUUGGAGCAACUCUCCUUCAAACUUUCCAAACUUCAAAAUUCAAGUUUCUAACUCAAAACCUUCAAAUAAACAUGAAAAUCAAUCAAAUCUUUGCAUGAUUGAAUGAAAACAUGAAGAAAACUCUAAAAAGGACAGGUCUCACCUCAGCAAGUCAAAGAAACGGUGAUCUUAUCAUUUCAACCGACUGAGGGCCUUUUAUAGGUGGCUCGCCAGACCACCUUCGGCGGCCACACGUGAAACCGAAAGCCAUGGAUGUUCGGCGGCCGAACCUCAACUUCGGUGGCCGAACCUGGCUUUUCUGCCUUGGUUCAUUUCACUCAAAACCUCAUUUCCUUAAGCUUUAAAACUAUGAAACAUAUCAAAACCUUUUAGCAAAACACAAAUCUAACCCUUCUAGAGACGUUCGGCAUCCUAAACUCCAUCGGAAAGUAGAAUUCCGAUGCCGGACUCUAGCCGGGUAUUACAAGGACGUUCCCUAAUUGGUUUAAUCAUAAGGAGAGACAUGGUAGUGAGAAGUGUUUUCCAUCUCCAUAACUAAUCUAUUGAAUCAAUCAAAAGAACAUUAGUUUCAAUGAUCAAUCCAAACAACCAAAGUGGAUCCAUCUCUUCAACUAGACCAUUCUCAUAUUGAUUUCUCUUUUAUUUUAAUUAUUCGCUCAUUUAAUUGCUUUCAGUAGUUUGUUAAUCAAAUCAAUCUCAAACCCCCCAUUUUACUUUUAUUGCACUUUAUUUUUAUUCCGCUUUCAGUUACUUGCUUUCAGUUGCGCUUUCAGUUCAUUCUCUUGGUCUUGUUGAGAAAAAUAUAUUAGUUUUCAAUUCUCUGUAGAUUCGAUCAUUUACCACUAUCUGCAAUUGUAAAAUUGUUGAUAACCAGAAAGGUUAUUUUUGACUGGCUUCGACAACCGCGAGUCAAAAAUUGGCGCCAUUGCCAGGUAAUUGUUCUAACUUGCUUAUUUUUCUUUUAUGACCAGAUCUUAAUGUAGGGAGACUUUGCCUUACGAUCCGGAAAUUGAACGCACCAUCAGAAGGCUAGGCAAGCAAGUCAUUCGGCCUGAGGAACCAACACAAGUCGAACCACCCAUUGCACAAGCACCAAUCGCAGACCAUCAUCUGAACACCACCGGAACACACCACCAAGCCGCACCAAUGGCUGAAAAUCAUCCACAAGCUGCUGCCCAUAAUGGACAUGCUGUCCAUGACCAAAUAAUUCAAGAAAAUCCAGCCAUGAGAGCACCAAGACCAAGAGAAAGAGCCAUGAGGGAGUUGGCAACACCUGUAGGUAAUCAAGCACCACUUUGCAUCAAUUAUCCACCACUAACAGUUUCCUUUGAACUGAAAAUAGGUUUGAUCCAUCUUCUUCCUAAAUUUAGAGGUCAAGAAAAUGAAAAUCCACACAAGCACUUGAAAGAGUUCAAUAUUGUCUGUUCAUCUAUGAGACCUCAAGGCAUUUCUGAAGAUCAUGUUAAGUUAAGAGCUUUUCCUUUUUCACUUGAUGAUUAUGCUAAGGAUUGGUUAUUUUAUCUGCCACCAGGAUCUAUUACUUCUUAGGAUGAUAUGGUUAUAACUUUUCUGAAUAAAUACUUCCCAACAUCUAAAGUCAUUGGCAUAAUAAGAGAAAUCACUAGCAUAAGACAUAAACCAUCUGAGGACUUAUAUGAUUAUUGGAAAAGAUUUGAAAGAUUGUGUACAGGUUGUCCUCAACAUGACAUGUCAGACAAGUCACUCAUAGAAUUCUUCUAUGGAGGACUGUUGUCAUCAUAAAGGAAGUUCAUUGAUGUAGCUUGUGGAGCAUCCAUUGCAGACAAAACACCUAGGGAGAUGAGACAGUUGAUCUCAACACUUGUAGCCUCAUCUAGGCAAUAUGGAGAAGAAAAGCAACUGCAAAGAGAAGCCCAUGAGGUAAGUACAUCUGCUCUUUCCUCCUAAAUCUUUGCACUAACCACUGCCAUGACAAAUUUCUUCACAGGCCAAACCCAACAAGCCUAACCAACUAGGCCAUGUGGGAUUUGUGCAUUCGUAGGACAUCCAACUGAUCAAUGUCCUACACUGCAAGAGGAUAGCCAGCAAGUGAAUGCCAUUGGAGGAUACAACAACCGGCCCAGACAUGAUCCAUAUUCCAAUACAUACAAUCCAGGCUGGAAAGACCAUCCCUAUUUCAACUAUGGAAGGGCCAAUAAUAAUCAGAACUAUCAGAACUAUCAUAGGAAUCAGGCCCAACCAGCACCUUCAAGUUCCAAUCAGCACCUUGAAAGGAUGAUAGAAACACUUACAAACUCUGUGCAGACUCUCCAACAACAAAUGGGACAGCUAAUGAGAAAAUCUGAAUCCCAAGGUAAGCUUCCUUCCCAAACUGAAACUAACCCCAGAUAGAAUGUCAGUGCCAUUACCUUGAGAAGUGGGAAAGAACUUCAAAAUGCCAAAUUCGAGGAAGAGAAGCAAGUUGCACAAGAGCAAGCGCAAGAACCAAUUGUUAUGCCUCUUCUAGACCAUCCGAAAUACAUGUACUUAGGAGCUGACAAGACACAACCAGUAAUAGUGUCUAAUCAGUUGAGCCAAAAUGAAGAAGAAAGCCUCCUAAAAGUACUACAAAAGCAUAAGGGAGCCAUAGGGUGGACCUUAGAUGACAUCAAAGGUAUAUCCCCCACCACAUGCAUGCAUAGAAUUCACAUGGAGGAUGAAUGCAAGCCAGUCAGAGAUGCUCAAAGAAGACUGAAUCCUCCUAUGAUGAAAGUGGUGAAAAAGGAGAUAGUCAAGCUCUUAGACGCAGGUAUUAUCUACCCUAUCUCUGAUAGCGAAUGGAUAAGUUCUGUGCAUGUAGUUCCAAAGAAAACUGGAAUUACCAUUGUUCCAAAUGCUAAAGGGGAACUUGUCCCCACUAGAGUUCAAAAUGGGUGGAGAGUAUGCAUGGACUGUAGGAAGCUAAAUGCAGCCACAAGAAAAGACCACUUCCCACUGCCUUUCAUUGAUCAGAUGCUAGAAAGGCUUGCAGGUAAGUCUCAUUACUGUUGUCUUGAUGGUUAUUCAGGUUUUUAUCAGAUUUCAGUUGCUCUAGAGGACCAAGAGAAGACCACCUUCACUUGUCCUUUUGGCACUUUUUCCUUUAGAAGAAUGCCAUUUGGACUAUGCAAUGCACCUCCCACCUUUUAGUGAUGCAUGAUGAGCAUAUUCUCUGACUAUGUAGGUAAGACAAUUGAAGUGUUCAUGGAUGACUUCACAGUGCAUGGCAACUCUUUUGAAGAAUGCCUUACCAACUUGGAAAAAAUCCUACAGAGAUGCCUUGAAUCUAAUCUUGUACUUAAUUAUGAAAAAUGUCACUUUAUGGUUAACCAAGGUAUGGUCUUAGGUCAUGUUGUUUCAGCUAAGGGCAUUGAAGUGGACAAAGCUAAGGUGGAUACCAUUAAAAAUCUGCCUUAUCCCACAAAUAUUAGAGAAAUUCGGUCAUUCCUUGGCCAUGCAAGGUUCUAUAGAAGAUUCAUCAAAGAUUUCUCUAAAAUUACAUUGUCAGUAUGCAAAUUGCUCCAACAGGAUGUAACAUUUGAUUUUGAUGCAGACUGCAAAAAGGCAUUUGAUCUGAUUAAAGAAUUGCUUGUGAUUGCUCCAAUUAUUCAGGCACCUGACUGGAACCUACCUUAUGAAAUCAUGUGUGAUGCAAGCAACCAUGCUAUAGGAGCAGUCUUGGGGCAACGUGUGGGAAACUCAUCCCACGUCAUCCAUUAUGCCUCUCGCACAUUGGAUGUUGCUCAAAGCAACUACACAACAACAGAAAAGGAACUCUUGGCUGUUGUAUUGGCUUUGGAAAAGUUCAUAUCAUACCUCCUUGGGACUAAAGUCAUCAUCUAUUCUGACCACGCAGCCUUGCGAUAUCUGAUCAAGAAAAAGGAGGCAAAACCAAGACUCAUUAGGUGGAUUCUUCUACUACAAGAAUUUGACCUGGAGAUAAGAGACAAGAAAGGCAAAGAAAAUCGUGUAGCCGACCACCUCAGCCGACUUCCCUCUAGCUCUGCGCCAUGUCCAGUCAAAGAAGAGUUCCCAAAUGAACAUCUAUUCGUCACUCAUUCAGCUUGAAGGAUCGCACACUAUGCAACACACCCUAGGGGAGUACUUAGUUUCCUUUCCUCUCUCAUUAUUCUUAUACAUUGAGGACAAUGCAUGAUUUAGGUGUGGGGGUGCAUAUCUCUCUUCUUCUCUUCUUCUUCUUCUUUUCCUUUCAGCUUUGUGAAUUUACGUGGCUUUCAGUUCUGUGAAAAAUUUUUCUCUUUUCCUUUCAGAUUUGCGAUUUGAGCUUUCUUUUGUUUCAGAUCAUGCAAUUUUUUUUUUGUUUUCAGUUUUCCUUUAGUCUGUUUUCAUUUAUGCUUUCAAUAACACACACAACCAUACCUUCUUCUUCUUUUUGAUUUGCUCUACUCAAACUGAUGAACUAUGUUAGAUGAGCUUCUCUUUCCAUGACCCCAUUGAUGUGAUGACUCUUUAAACUUAUGUUGAAUCAAUUGCAGUGAGUUAUAUUCAUAUUUGAGAAUUGCCUUUUGAAUUGAAUCUUGGAGCUUGCCAUGGUGAAAAAUGUAUUGAUGACACUCAUUAGAAAGAAUGAAUUGAAAUUUGUGUGAAUGAACUUAACAUGAGUUGAUUUAGCAAUUGGUGUUGAUUUGUUCAAUGCAUUGAUUAAAGAAAUUCAGCAAAGGCUUAGACUUUAUAAGCACAAUUGAAAAUUGUUCCAAUGGUUGAAAGACUAUGAACAGAGCUAGUAGCCAUUUGGACAGGUGACCAACUGAGUAACUAGGGGUGGGUGUCACCAAUAUGUACCUUCACGUCAAAAGGUUGUGACUUUUUCAAGCAAGAUUAAAGUGCAAAAGGCUGAAUAAAGCACUUCAAGGUAAGGGCAAAUUACUCUGAAAGAUAGAAAAAGUCUUAACUGAAUAAGAACAUGUGCAUGUAUAAUCUCUCUCUUGAGUAAAACAAAUCCUAGCCAUGGUAAGUAAAGGGAAACAAGGAAAGAAGGUGAGUAAUCUUCAUGCAUAUAUUCUUCACUGCAAUGAUUCAAAAUAGGUAUCUUGAGUAAGAGCUUAAGUGGAAAUAAGGAUCAAGUAGCAAAGAAGGCUUGUUUGACAAUGUUUAUUUGCUUGAGGACAAGCAAAAGGCUAGGUGUGGGGGUAUUUCAUAGAGCAUAUUUUAGUCCAUUUUAUCAUUAUGUUCUUGAUGUUUAUUUGCAUCUUUUUUGCCUAAUUUUGUGGUUUUAAUCAUGUUUUGCAGAUAUUAGGUGUAAAGAGACAAUCUGGAGAAAAUGCUCUUAAAACUGCCAAAAAGUGUCAAAUAUGGAAAGUGCCAAAAAAGGAAAGUUUUCAAAUAAGGAAAGUUUUCAGAAAAGGAAAGUUUUCAAAUAAGGAAAGUGCAGAAGCAAAAGCAAAUAAGGAAAGCUCAAUCAGAAGACUAUUUGAAAUUCAAAUCGCAGAUCUUUCUUUCCUUGUUCAAAGAUGUGCACACACUGCAGCAGUCAUAUCUUCCUAUUUAGGCAGCAAGAUUUCAUGAAGAUGCACUUGCCUCUUCUGCGUUCAGCAUUCAAAAUUCAAACGAAGGCUCCACCUAAAAAGGAAAGACUGGACAGAUUCACUUUCCCUUCUGCACAUGCAUGCCGCGCGCCCACCUUCCCUCUGAAGAGCAUCCGCGCGCCUCCUUCCUUCUGAAGCCCUUGCAACACGAUUCUUUCCUUUCCAAACACAACUUGGGCAGCAAGUACCUCUUGGGCAGCACCUUGAAGAUACUUGGGCAGCAAGUAAAAUCUUGGACAGCACACUCUUACCUUUUAAAGCCAUUCCGCGUGCCACUUCCCAUCUGAAGAGCAAGCGCACGCCUCUUUCCUUCUGAAUAAUUUUGGAACGCGAAUCUUUCCUUUUCUGACUCAACUUGGGCAGCAAGUACCUCUAGGGCAGCAAGGUCAGCAUCUAAAACCUAUUUAAAGACUCCUUAAAGGCCAGCUGAUCCACUCUCCACGUUUUGCAACACCAUCUGCGCAAGCCUCUCAUCCGGCUCCAUCUUCUCUUCAUCUUCUUCUUCCUUUCUUUAUUUUUUGGUUUUUGGUUCAGCCAUGAGUGGCUGAAACCUUUUAUUCUAGUUGAAGAUUGGUUGAAACUAAGGUUGAUUUAUGGAUUGUGAGAUCUGAACAUAUAUUGUUUGUCUUUUGGUUAUUCAAUAUUCAUACAGUUCAUGCUUGAAUUCUAUUAUUACUUUGUUGUUUUGAUCAAAUUGGCCAAUUGAUUCUUGAUUGCAAGGUAAUUAAUUGUUAGUUUGGAUAAUUUUAAGUCCGUAAUUGCUUGAAUUGUUCAAAC